AUUGAACGCUGGCGGCAUGCCUUACACAUGCAAGUCGAACGGCAGCACGGGAGCAAUCCUGGUGGCGAGUGGCGAACGGGUGAGUAAUGUAUCGGAACGUGCCCAGUCGUGGGGGAUAACGCAGCGAAAGCUGUGCUAAUACCGCAUACGAUCUAUGGAUGAAAGCGGGGGAUCGCAAGACCUCGCGCGAUUGGAAUGGCCGAUAUCAGAUUAGCUAGUUGGUGGGGUAAAAGCUUACCAAGGCGACGAUCUGUAGCUGGUCUGAGAGGACGACCAGCCACACUGGAACUGAGACACGGUCCAGACUCCUACGGGAGGCAGCAGUGGGGAAUUUUGGACAAUGGGCGCAAGCCUGAUCCAGCAAUGCCGCGUGCAGGAUGAAGGCCUUCGGGUUGUAAACUGCUUUUGUACGGAGCGAAAAGGCUCUCUCUAAUACAGGGGGCUCAUGACGGUACCGUAAGAAUAAGCACCGGCUAACUACGUGCCAGCCGCCGCGGUAAAAC
rnacentral:rRNA from 1 species